UACGUAGGGGCAAGCGUUAUCCGGAAUUAUUGGGCGUAAAGAGCGCGCAGGUGGUUGAUUAAGUCUGAUGUGAAAGCCCACGGCUUAACCGUGGAGGGUCAUUGGAAACUGGUCGACUUGAGUGCAGAAGAGGGAAGUGGAAUUCCAUGUGUAGCGGUGAAAUGCGUAGAGAUAUGGAGGAACACCAGUGGCGAAGGCGGCUUCCUGGUCUGUAACUGACACUGAGGCGCGAAAGCGUGGGGAGCAAACAGGAUUAGAUACCCCGGUAGU
rnacentral:rRNA from 1 species